UACGUAGGGGGCAAGCGUUGUCCGGAAUCAUUGGGCGUAAAGAGCGUGUAGGCGGCUUGGUAAGUCCGCUGUGAAAGUCCAGGGCUCAACCCUGGAAAGCCGGUGGAAACUGUCAAGCUCGAGUCCGGAAGAGGCGAGUGGAAUUCCUGGUGUAGCGGUGAAAUGCGCAGAUAUCGGGAAGAACACCCGUGGCGAAGGCGGUUCUCUGGGACGGUACUGACGCUGAGACGCGAAAGCGUGGGGAGCGAACAGG
rnacentral:rRNA from 1 species